rnacentral:lncRNA from 1 species
AUUUCUCAGCUUGCCUGUGAGAGAGGAGGAGCUAAUCCUUCUAACGAUGAUUUUCCUCGUUCACCACUUGGUCUUGCUGGCCACAGACUUACUUUCUCGCAACGAUCCUUUCUUGCCUCCUUUAUGCCUUUGCAUUCGUUUCCAUUGCUGUUUUUACCUGCUUCAUUAUCUUCUGGUCCUUCGGCGUCGUGGAGAAGAACAUUGACAUAAAAGGGAGAGCAAUUGUAAUUCUCGUAUCCAACAGCUCAAUUGGGAGGACGUUUGCUAGGAACUUGGAUAAAGCAGGUUUUAGGGUGUCUGCUGCACACUGGCCUCCUCAAGAGGAGGGAACAACUGCGAAAGAAGAGUGCUCUUCAAGAAUGGAGGUAGCACAGCUCCACAUGACAGAUGAUGAGUACCAGAAGACAAUGAAAACCUUCAUAGAAAGCCACUUAUCCCUGAAAGGCACGUAUGGGCUGAUGAAGAAGCCAUCAAUCCUGAUAUGGGAAGAAGUGGAGCCAGACACGUGCAGGUUACCCGAGAGAAGAACCCCUCAUAAAUGGAAGAAGGUUUUCAGGGUUCCAGCAGGGAAGGAGACCCAUGGAGCAACACAAAUUAAUAUUCUAAUGUCACAAAAAGAAGACGCUACAGGAAGGAGCACAGCUGGGAUCUAAAAUGAGGGAGAACGAGUAGUGACUUCAGUCACAGGACAAUGAAAAACUGCAGAUGAAGACAGAAAGCAACUCCUGAACUGUGAGACAGGUCUCUAACCCACUUUCAAGUCUAAUGUGUAAGCAAGAGGACAAUGAUGUUUGGGGUUCUGUGUUACAAUGCUGCACUGCACACACUGGGAUACACACACACACACACACACACACACAGAAAGAAGGAAAAAAUGACAACAUGAGGUAAAAGAAAAUGAAGGAAUAAUUUCUCUGAGAAGAAAAAUGCAAGGGCUUAGGUUUCUUUAUCUGAAGCCGCAACUCAGAACUACCUGACUGAUGAUAAGAGAUGCCACCCACCCAGAAGCUGGAUCCAGAGAGAAAAGGGAAAGCUUUCAGAACUGCUUCUAGAAGGCAUUAAAUCAGCCUGCUAUCCAGCCAGAUUGGAAACAAAUAUUUUAAUUCCAAAACGUCACAGCACUGGGAGAGAAACCUGCUAAAGCAAAAAAAUUCUGAAUGAAAACCUUGUGGUUUUUAGUUUAUGUAUUUGACAAGCAACUCGUUAUACUAACAACACCAAUACCACAUAUUCUGCACAAUAUUCCAGAAAAGGUGUCCUUUAGCCAGAACCCAGUUUGAGCCCGGGCUCUCAACUCAGUGUGUCACUCCAUUCUGUGCAUGCUACCUUGUGCAAUUUCAGCUGAUAGCCAACAUUUUCUCGCCCAGACUAACACAGAGGACUUGUGUGGGGCACCACCUGCCUAUUGCUUUUCCCCCCUCAAAAGUGACCUUCACUCAAAGGCCAACACCUACUUGUGUACACAGCAGUCUCCGCUGCCUGAAUCUAGAGACA